AUGAGAUGAGUCCAGUAGUCACUGUCACUGCCACUGCUACUGCCACCGUCCCAGACAGUGAUGUUGGAAUUGCUUCUGACUCAACUAAAAAUUGAAGACAAAGCAUCCAUAAAAGAAAAGUGGAAAAGAAAAAGUAGAGAAUAAAGGGAAAGGAAAAAGGUUGUGUGAAGUAUAGAAGAAUGUUGUUUGUUUUGAAUUCAGAAAGAAAACAAUGGAGCUGCCAUGGGCGUUGGCAAGACACUUGGCGUCGCUGCUCGCUGCUCGCUGUCCACAAGUAGGUAACAAGUUUAAGGUCAUUAGGGCGACAUCUGGUCAUUGUGUAGGUCAACCUCUAGUCUGUUGCACCUCAAUCCUCAUCUUCCAAGAUCAUCAAUUGCAAGUAAUGAAUGAUACCCAUUUCAAUGCAACAGUCAUUACUGCUUUUGUA